ACGUCAGAACUGUUUCGGUCUUCCAUCAGGGUUUCCCCUGACUUCAACCUGAUCAAGUAUAGUUCACCAUCUUUCGGGUCACAGCAUAUAUGCUCAAGGUACGUUCCAGUUAGAGGUAUAAACAAUAUAAAUAUUAUUAUACAUAACUAUAUAGAACGCCCCGGGAUUGCGUUAAAUAACUAUAAAUAGUUAUAAAAUUAAUCCCUUUUAAUUUAAGUCAAGUUAAUUACGCUAUUGGGUUU
rnacentral:rRNA from 1 species